GAUGAAGAACGUAGUGAAAUGCGAUACGUAAUGUGAAUUGCAGAAUUCAGUGAAUCAUCGAAUCUUUGAACGCAUAUUGCGCUCUUUGGUAUUCCGAAGAGCAUGCUUGUUUGAGUAUCAGUAAACACCUCAACCUCUUCUUGAUUUUUCAAAAGGAGGGUGGACUUGAGCUAUCCCAACAACCUUUACCGGUCGGCGGGCGGCUUGAAAUGCAGGUGCAGCUGGACUUUUAUCUGAGCUAAAAGCAUAUCUAUUUAGUCCUCGUCAAACAGGAUUAUUACUUUUGCUGCAGCUAACAUAAAGGAUAAUUGUCCUCUUUGCUGACUGAUGCAGGAUUUUACUACACUUUAUGUGUUGUUCAACUCGAUCUCAAAUCAAGUAAGACUACCCGCUGAACUUAAGCAUAUCAAUAAGCGGAGGA
rnacentral:misc_RNA from 1 species